rnacentral:rRNA from 1 species
GUUGCGGUUAAAACGCUCGUAGUUGGAUAUCUGCUAAGGGGUUCCGGUCCUUCCAAGUGGAGAAUACGCGGAACUCUUCUUGGCAUUUGUUCAGGGAAGAUGUUUGCACUUCAUUGUGUGUCAUUUGAUCUGAAUUUUUACUUUGAGGAAAUGAGAGUGUUUCAAGCAGGCUUUCGCCGUGAAUAUGAUAGCAUGGAAUAAUAGCAAGGACCGUGUGUCAGAGCUGUUGGUUUUUGGCACGUGGUAAGUUUUAAUAAGGAUAGUUGGGGGUAUUCGUAUUUAACUGUCAGAGGUGAAAUUCUUGGAUUUUUUAAAGACGAACUAUUGCGAAGGCAUUUACCCAGGAUGUUUUUAUUGAUCAAGAACGAAAGUUAGGGGAUCGAAGACGAUCAGAUACCGUCCUAGUCUUAACCAUAAACUAUGCCGACUGGGGAUUGGACGUUGUCAACUUCUGACACGUUCAGCACCCUGAGAGAAAUCUAAGUCUUUGGGUUCCGGGGGGAGUAUGGUCGCAAGGCUGAAACUUAAAGGAAUUGACGGAAGGCACCACCAGGAGUGGAGCCUGCGGCU